rnacentral:rRNA from 1 species
UACGUAGGGGGCAAGCGUUGUCCGGAAUCAUUGGGCGUAAAGCGCGUGUAGGCGGUUCAGUAAGUCUGCUGUGAAAGUCCAGGGCUCAACCCUGGGAUGCCGGUGGAUACUGCUGGACUAGAGUGCGGAAGAGGCGAGUGGAAUUCCCGGUGUAGCGGUGAAAUGCGCAGAUAUCGGGAGGAACACCAAUGCGAAGGCAGCUCGCUGGGACGUUACUGACGCUGAGACGCGAAAGCGUGGGGAGCAAACAGG